AUUUUAUCACUCUUCUAUUCUGAAGCAUGGAUUAAUUGUGCAAGAUCAGGGUGGGAGAAAAAUCAUGACAGAUGAUACAGCCCUGUGCUCCAACUAUUGGCAAGAACAAUGUUUGGGGCCUUGGCGGAACUGGGCCAUAUGAACUCACAUCCAUACACCACUGGGCUAAAGUUCUUCAUAAGAGGAAUGGAUGAGAAGAUGGAGACAGAGCUGCAUGGGAAACAAAGGAGACUUGAAAUGGAAAUUAUUUAGAUUCCACACUUCAAGGUCUCUGCAACCAGUGCAGCCUUUCAGAGUGUAGGGGACACCAACUGCAUAAAGAAACCUUGGAUCACACUUGCCCAUACUAAAAAAGCACCUUGAUAUUUGGGUCAAAGAGCACAGCUGUGAAUUGACACACUGGUUGGGUGUCAGUACAGAAAACUCUUCCCAGAGGAUCAUGGAGGGAAAGGGGAGUUUAUCGUGGAACAUUGGCAAAUUU
rnacentral:lncRNA from 1 species